rnacentral:rRNA from 1 species
AGAGUUUGAUCCUGGCUCAGAACGAACGCUGGUGGCGUGUCUUAUACAUGCAAGUCGAGCGGUCCGCAAGGAUAGCGGCGAACGGGUGAGUAACGCGUAAGCAAUCUGCCCCGCAUAUUGGGAUAGCCGUGCCAACGCGCGGAUAAUACCGAAUAACGUGGCCCCGGACAUCCGGGGUUGACGAAAGAUUCAUCGAUGCGGGAUGAGCUUGCGUCCGAUUAGCUAGUUGGCGGGGCAACGGCCCACCAAGGCGACGAUCGGUAGCCGGCCUGAGAGGGUGAUCGGCCACAUUGGGACUGAGAUACGGCCCAGACUCCUACGGGAGGCAGCAGUAGGGAAUAUUGCACAAUGGGGGGAACCCUGAUGCAGCAACGCCACGUGUGGGAAGAAGCAUUUCGGUGUGUAAACCACUGUCGUGAGGGAAUAAUACGCGUCUUCGGGCGCGGGGGAAUGUACCUCGAGAGGAAGCACCGGCAAACUUCGUGCCAGCAGCCGCGGUAAUACGAGGGGUGCAAGCGUUGUUCGGAAUCACUGGGCGUAAAGGGAGCGUAGGCGGAUGUUCAAGCGGAUUGUACAAUCCCGGGGCCCAACCCCGGACCUGCAGUUCGAACUGGACGUCUUGGAUAGUUCAGGGGCAGGCGGAAUUCCUGGUGUAGCGGUGGAAUGCGUAGAGAUCAGGAAGAACACCGAUGGCGAAGGCAGCCUGCUGGGGACUUUAUCGACGCUGAGGCUCGAAAGUGCGGGUAGCAAACAGGAUUAGAUACCCUGGUAGUCCGCACCGUAAACGAUGAAUGCUCGUUCUGGGCGAUAUACAGUCCGGGACCUAGGGAAACCAUUAAGCAUUCCACCUGGGGAGUACGCCGACAACGGUGAAACUCAAAGGAAUUGACGGGGGCACGCACAAGCGGUGGAGUAUGUUGUUUAAUUCGACGCAACGCGAAGAACCUUACCAAGCCUUGACAUCUGAGGAAUCUGGAUGAAAGUCUGGAGUGCCCUUCGGGGAAUCUCAAGACAGGUGGUUCAUGGUUGUCGUCAGCUCGUGUCGUGAGAUGUUGGGUUAAGUCCCGCAACGAGCGCAACCCCUGCGAUAUGUUACCAGCGGGUAAAGCCGGGAACUCAUAUCGGACAGCCCGGGAUAACCGGGAGGAAGGCG